rnacentral:lncRNA from 1 species
AGGCACAUUGAGAAAACAUCUAAUUUAAAGAGCAAGGUCAAAAAAUGGAAGACCUUGAUGAAUCAGAGCCAACUUUAAUAGCCUCAAUGGCCUUUCAAAUGACUUGCCCUAAUUAUAAGGAUAUUUGGGCAUACAUUGAAAAACCAAGCACUUCACAUGAAGAUCCUCAUAGCCUACCAAAAAUCCAAAAAGCAUUUGAUUCAUGUCAAAGAAUAAUAGAACUUGACAAAAGUCACUGUUCACAGUGUUUAUUACAUAUACAAGAAGUGGAAAAAGGAGAAAAUAAACUUUGUGGAAUGAAAGAGAAAUUAUCAGAAAUGGAAAAUAUGAAAUCUAAGUUAGAGCAGAGAGAAAUAAAAUGGAAACAAGAACUCUGCCACUUGAGGCAUGAUUUAAAAGAAAAAGAGAAGAAGUUAAGAGAUUUUGAUCAGCUUUUGGAAAAAAUGAAUAACCAGUUAAGAGAAAAAGAUGAGAAACAUAAUAAACAAAUUGAAUUGAACAAAGAAUUUCAACUGUCUUAUGGGACAUUGAAGGCAGAAUUAAAGACUGCAAGAAGUAACUCAAAUCAGGCCAAUAAUCUCAAUACAAACCUAGAAGCUACAUUUUCAAAAUAUUUACGGUUGGAUGGACAAUUUGAACUUGCUUUUAAAAGCCUACAAAAUACAUGUGAAAAAACACAGAACAACCAAAAGUAGUUGGAAGAAGAUUUCGCAAACCUCAAAGUAUAUGUGCAAGACAAUAAAAUUAAAAAUGGUCAAGAAGAGCCUCAUAGAUGUGAGAUUAGACAAAGAACAAGAGAGAUUUUAGAGGAAAACCAAAAACGAGCAUCUCUAUUUUCAGAGGUUAUUUUAUUUAUCUGUAA